rnacentral:rRNA from 1 species
AUUGAACGCUGGCGGCAUGCCUUACACAUGCAAGUCGAACGGUAACAGGUCUUCGGAUGCUGACGAGUGGCGAACGGGUGAGUAAUACAUCGGAACGUGCCUAGUAGUGGGGGAUAACUACUCGAAAGAGUGGCUAAUACCGCAUGAGAUCUACGGAUGAAAGCAGGGGAUCGCAAGACCUUGUGCUACUAGAGCGGCCGAUGGCAGAUUAGGUAGUUGGUGGGAUAAAAGCUUACCAAGCCGACGAUCUGUAGCUGGUCUGAGAGGACGAUCAGCCAAACUGGGACUGAGACACGGGCCAGACUCCUACGGGAGGCAGCAGUGGGGAAGUUUGGACAAUGGGCGCAAGCCUGAUCCAGCAAUGCCGCGUGCAGGAUGAAGGCCUUCGGGUUGUAAACUGCUUUUGUACGGAACGAAAAGCCCUGGGUUAAUACCCUGGGGUCAUGACGGUACCGUAAGAAUAAGCACCGGCUAACUACGUGCCAGCCGCCGCGGUAAUAC